GGGGAAUUUUCCGCAAUGGGCGAAAGCCUGACGGAGCAAGACCGCGUGGGGGAGGAAAGCCUUUGGGUUGUAAACCCCUUUUGUCAGGGAAGAAGACAGUGACGGUACCUGACGAAUCAGCCUCGGCUAACUCCGUGCCAGCAGCCGCGGUAAUACGGAGGAGGCAAGCGUUAUCCGGAAUAAUUGGGCGUAAAGCGUCCGUAGGUGGCCCGGCAAGUCGGUUGUCAAAGACCUCAGCUCAACUGAGGAAAGGCAAGGGAAACUGCAAGGCUAGAGUGCGGUAGGGGUAGAGGGAAUUCCCAGUGUAGCGGUGAAAUGCGUAGAGAUCGGGAAGAACAUCGGUGGCGAAAGCGCUCUACUGGACGGUAUCUGACACUGAGGGACGAAAGCUAGGGGAGCGAAUGGGAUUAGAUACCCCAGUAGUC
rnacentral:rRNA from 1 species